GGCUCACUGCACAGUUAAAGUUAAAAAUUAAGGACUUUACGAUCAGUACUUUUUGUCAUACAUAUUAAUAGUGCUUAUUGCACAAAAUUUUGUACAUCUAGACUCCCUUUAUCUGUUGUUCAUGAGAUUUACACUUGUGUAUGGCCAUGAUUUGGCUUUGCCAAAACUGAUGUCAUUAUUUGCAAAUUGAUUGUUUGGCGCCAUAUUUGUAAAUAUUGAACUUCUGUAUUUGAAAUAGUCAUGAACUUAUUUUUUUAAAAAAAUCUAGUGAGAUGAUGGUUUUCAUUCACAUUUUCAUUCCAAUGUAAACUCAUGUCUACACUCAAUUUCAACUUCAAAAUAGUAGUUUUUAACUUGAAUAAAAUUUUUCUUGGUAAAUUUUUUAUUGUUCUUUUCAAGUUUUCAUCAUGAAUAUGUAAGUUCUCACCAUGCUCACGGAUGCCUUGUGCGAGACAGUCCAUCCUUUCUCCAAGUUUAUUCAUCUUACUAAUUACAGAUUUUCCUGCAUAACCAGACAUAUUUAAUUUUAAUGAUCUCUUCUUAGUGGUCAUUAAUACUCUUUGUAACUACUACAAGAACAAGUCGAUUAUCACUCGAGGAAAAUACUCACUUUGCUUUAUUUUAGACAAGUGUUUUGAAGUUGCAGAUGGAAGAUGGUCUUGGCAAGCAGAUAAAGACAGUAGUCUUUUUGGCUGCCGUUCAAAUGAGUAUACCGCUGAACUCAUGGAAACACCAACCUCAUUUCUACCGACACUAUAUAUAUGCACAGCAGUUUGUGACAAGUUGAUGAAUCUUUUAACUACUAACUGGUGCAUGAGUCAGCUAUGGGUCAUCAAAAUAGAAUAUUUCUCAAUUUUCUGCAAAGAUUUUUUAAAGUUUCUUCUUUUUUUCAGUCUUUCUAAUUAGAGUAAACUGUCUCAUGCUGCCUUAUUUUAUCAUCAAGAUUUGUGUGCA